UCUCUGAUGGUCUAUUGGUUAGGAUUCAGUGCUUUCACGGCUUUGGCCUGGGUUCAAUCCCUGGUCUGGGAA
rfam:Sus scrofa chromosome 3.